CCUACGGGAGGCUGCAGUGGGGAAUAUUGGACAAUGGGGGGAACCCUGAUCCAGCCAUGCCGCGUGUGUGAAGAAGGCCCUCGGGUUGUAAAGCACUUUCAGUGAGGAAGAACGCCUGGUGGUUAAUACCCAUCAGGAAAGACAUCACUCACAGAAGAAGCACCGGCUAACUCCGUGCCAACAGCCGCGGUAAUACGGAGGGUGCGAGCGUUAAUCGGAAUUACUGGGCGUAAAGCGCGCGUAGGUGGCUUGAUAAGCCGGUUGUGAAAGCCCCGGGCUCAACCUGGGAACGGCAUCCGGAACUGUCAAGCUAGAGUGCAGGAGAGGAAGGUAGAAUUCCCGGUGUAGCGGUGAAAUGCGUAGAGAUCGGGAGGAAUACCAGUGGCGAAGGCGGCCUUCUGGACUGACACUGACACUGAGGUGCGAAAGCGUGGGUAGCAAACAGGAUUAGAUACCCCAGUAGUC
rnacentral:rRNA from 1 species